GAGCCUUUCGUCUAGUGGCCCAGGACGCUGUAUCCUCAAUGCAGAAACGCAUCGUUCGAAUCGUGCAAGGCUCGCCA
rnacentral:tRNA from 1 species